rnacentral:rRNA from 1 species
AAUGAACGCUGGCGGCGUGGUUAAGACAUGCAAGUCGAACGGGCAUAUUGACGUAGCAAUACGUUGGUAUGCUAGUGGCGAACGGGUGCGUAAUACGUGAACAAUUUACCCUUGAGUGUGGAAUAGCUCGUCGAAAGAUGAAUUAAUACCGCAUACGAUUGAUGACCGUAUGGUUGUCGUAUCAAAGCUAGGGACCGAAAGGCCUAGUGCUCAUUGAUAAGUUCACGGCCUAUCAGCUAGUUGGCGGGGUAACAGCCCACCAAGGCUAAGACGGGUAGCUGGUCUGAGAGGAUGACCAGCCACACUGGAACUGAGAUACGGUCCAGAAACCUACGGGUGGCAGCAGUUUCGAAUCAUUCACAAUGGGCGCAAGCCUGAUGGUGCGACGCCGCGUGAGGGAUGAAGGUCUUCGGAUUGUAAACCUCUGUCACUGGGGAAGAACAAUUUCAAAUUAACAGUUUGAAACCUGACUUAACCCGGAGAGGAAGCAGUGGCUAACUCUGUGCCAGCAGCCGCCGUAACAC